rnacentral:rRNA from 1 species
AUUGAACGCUGGCGGCAGGCCUAACACAUGCAAGUCGAGCGAGCGGCGGACGGGUGAGUAAUGUAUGGGAAUCUGCCCGAUGGAGGGGGAUAACUACUGGAAACGGUGGCUAAUACCGCAUACUAUCAGAUGUGCCCAGAUGGGAUUAGCUAGUAGGUGGGGUAAAGGCUCACCUAGGCGACGAUCUCUAGCUGGUCUGAGAGGAUGAUCAGCCACACUGGGACUGAGACACGGCCCAGACUCCUACGGGAGGCAGCAGUGGGGAAUAUUGCACAAUGGGCGCAAGCCUGAUGCAGCCAUGCCGCGUGUAUGAAGAAGGCCUUAGGGUUGUAAAGUACUUUCAGCGGGGAGGCGUUACUCGCAGAAGAAGCACCGGCUAACUCCGUGCCAGCAGCCGCGGUAAUAC